rnacentral:rRNA from 1 species
AGAGUUUGAUCCUGGCUCAGAACAAACGCUGGCGGCGUGCCUAACACAUGCAAGUCGUACGAGAAAGGGUCCUUCGGGAUCUGAGUAAAGUGGCGCACGGGUGAGUAACGCGUGGAUAAUCUGCCCCUCAGUCGGGAAUAACUCAUCGAAAGGUGGGCUAAUACCCGAUAAUGCUGCAUCCACCUCGGUGGAUCAGCCAAAGAGAGCCUCUGUUUACAUGCCCUCACUGAAGGAUGAGUCCGCGUACCAUUAGCUAGUUGGUGAGGUAAGCGCCCACCAAGGCGAAGAUCGGUAGCUGAUCUGAGAGGAUGAUCAGCCAGACGGGGACUGAGAUACGGCCCUGACUCCUACGGGAGGCAGCAGCAAGGAAUUUUGGGCAAUGGGCGAAAGCCUGACCCAGCAACGCCGCGUGGGGGAAGAAAGCCUUCGGGUUGUAAACCCCUUUUGUCGGGGAAGAAUGAUGACGGUACCCGGCGAAUAAGCCUCGGCUAACUACGUGCCAGCAGCCGCGGUAAGACGUAGGAGGCGAGCGUUAUCCGGAAUUACUGGGCGUAAAGAGCGCGCGGGCGGCUGGCUAAGUCAGGUGUGAAAUCUCUCGGCUCAACCGAGAGGGGACAUCUGAUACUGGCUGGCUUGAGGGCAGUAGAGGGAGAUGGAAUUCCCGGUGUAGUGGUGAAAUGCGUAGAUAUCGGGAGGAACACCUGUGGCGAAGGCGGUCUCCUGGGCUGUUCCUGACGCUGAGGCGCGAAAGUGUGGGUAGCAAACAGGAUUAGAUACCCUGGUAGUCC